UCCUCCAGUAUCUUCAUAUUACAUUUGGUUUAGUUAUUCUUGAAAAGUGUUAGAGACAACUUCUUUACAGAUUUGAAAAUAAAAUAUCUUUUCUCGUUUCUCUUCCACUGCGUGCAGUUUUUCUCCUGGCUGGAUAGAGCAGAAAUGAAGUCCCCAGUUAGGAACUGAGAUCAGACGGUGAACAACAAAGAGCCCUGAGGUCUAUCUUAUGGAAUUGUGACAGCCUGCCCAGGAUAGCACUCUUGGCCACAACAAAGGGCUAUUCUUGUGAUUUGAGCUCAGGGAUGGGAAAUUCAAGUUUGGAAAAAUAGAAGACUAUGAAAGUUGGUCAGUCUGUUUUUGUUUUAUUGGGAUAUUUAAUCCCUUAACACU
rnacentral:lncRNA from 12 species